rnacentral:lncRNA from 1 species
AGAUCCCUAACUGAUCCGUACUGAACUGGAAAUAAACAACCAUCUACUAUCAAGACAAAAAUCGGGGACAUAGGUCCUCGAACCAUGAGGACUCACCAACUGUACGAAUGUAGAUGGAGGUACUCGAAGAUCAUUGUCACUGCUGAGACUGAGCACCUGAACCUACAUCACAAGAAAAUAUAGAACCUACAUCACAAGAAAAUAUAGAACACAGAAGAGUAUGAGAAUUAGUACUUGGGAAUAUACUGAGUAUGUGCGUGUGCAGACAAUAUUUAAAUAAUAUCAUAAAUGUAUAAGAAAAUCAUGCAUGCUGAUAAUAAUAACUCUCUUCGCUUGAGUUACCUGAAACAUAUUUUCCAUAAAUCAUCAAUAAUAACACAUGCUUCAUAAAUCUCACAAACCGUUGGACUCAACUCAAACUCUUUAACUUAUGACUUAGAGCGACUCGGUAACUCAUGAAACUUGGACUAUUAUGGACUUGGGAGUUUCUUAUAACAGACAUAAACCAUGUGAGCUUACAUGGAGUCCAACGUCUUGCCCACGCUGGGGAGAGCUGUUCUAUUCUUUCCAUCGGAGUAGAACCUUAACUUUAGUGAUAACUGUCUUGGCCUUUGGCCCUUAAUCUUAAUCCUACGGUGGCACGUAGUUUUGGGGAAGUAGGAUGCGCUGAACUCAUACUUCUCGCUCGGUGCUAAAUACUACUCCCAGACUUAAGCUCUGAACGCGUUAGGAAAUCCACCUUAAUCAGCUCAAGGGUCUAUCAUGAAGACCAAAAUAUAAAUAUAUAUCUCACUUGUAAUUCAUAAUCAACUUAUGGAUUCGUAACUCGACUAAAUCUCAAAAUAAUCUUUCUCAUCAUCAAGUACACUUGCUUAUCAAAUCAUAUCAAGUAUCAAAUCUUCCAGAAAACAUCAUAGAACUCAUUCAUAACUCUCAACCUCAAUAUCAAUAUAUAUUCAAUAGACAAACUUCUCAUGGAAAAAUAUAAAUCAUGAAACUUAUCAUAAAUCACUUAGAAAUUUUCAUUUCAUGAUAACAAUAUACAAAUCAUGAAAUAAAUUUUUAAUUUAAGAAAUAAGACAAUGAAGUAGUCAUAAAUCUCAUAAAUCCUUGAUAAAGUAAUUUGGGUGUAAACCCACUUUGCAAAAUUCAUGAAAUUCAAUAGAAAUUAAAUCUUUGGGCACAAGAAUGAAACAAGUGUUCUUGUUCAAAACCCCACAUACCUUAAUCUUUGAAAUUGGAUGAACUUUAGUGCUUGANNNNNNNNNNNNNNNNNNNNNNNNNNNNNNNNNNNNNNNNNNNNNNNNNNNNNNNNNNNNNNNNNNNNNNNNNNNNNNNNNNNNNNNNNNNNNNNNNNNNNNNNNNNNNNNNNNNNNNNNNNNNNNNNNNNNNNNNNNNNNNNNNNNNNNNNNNNNNNNNAUGGAAUUAGGGUUUGGAUGGGAUUCUCAUAUUUAUAGAGGCCUCCAAGAGAUUAGAAAAUACCAAAAUACCCUUGCAAAAACGUCUCUAAAUUGCUAAAAAAAAUAGCUGACGACAUCCGUGACAGGCCAUCACGAAAUGUCAUCAAAAAAGGGUCGAAUUUUAUGAUUUUCUGCCUAAGGCUGACAACGUCGUUAGAAAUAUCGUUAGAAAUGUGAUGACGUCAUCAGAAAUGUUAUCAGAAACGUGACAGGCCGUCAGAAACGUCGUCACCCUUUUUCAGAUUGACAUGCUGGAGUAAAAUGGAUAUAACUCUUUGCUCAGGUAUCGUAUUUUGGCAAAAUUGGUAUCGUUGGAAAGCUAAUUUAAUUAUCUAUCUAUUGAUAGGUCAUGAGCUCAAAAAUUCCAAGGAUAAUGAGAGAUAUUCUAAUUUUAAGUUGACUAUACCAAUAUCCUUCCCAAGAAUUCAAUCGGUAAGGAGUGUUUUGAUUCACCUAAUCAUUAGGAUAUCUUUAAGGCCUUAAUACAUACCAUCCUUGAUCAGAAAACAACCCAAAACAUUAUAAUUUAUUUCUCAUGAGCUUGAUUCAUAGUUGCACUAUUGGUUAGAGUCUCGGGGUAUUACAAUAUCUCCCCCUUGGAAACAUUCGUCCUCGAAUGUGGCUAGAUAGGCCAAGAACAAGAGAAAAUAAGGAUGUAUAGCUGGAACGACUCACUAAAAGGGCUUACUUCAUUCUAAACUUUCGAAUACUUCACAAAAUGCAUGAAUCAUAGAGAGAAUAACCAUAUAGCUGAAUACACUAGAUUAGAAGGAAACUGGAUUGAGGAAGAAUAGUACUUUCGGCUUAAUUUGAACUCGCGGAGAAGAGAUGAGGGUAUUUGAUUUGCAUAUCUGCUUUUUCUUCCCAAGUAGCACCCUCGACUGAUUGAUUUUGCCACAGAACUUUGACUAAGGAAACUUUCUUAUUUCUUAGUCUACGAACUUGAUAAUCUAGAAUUUAAAUCGAAACUUCAUCAUACGAAAGGCUAUCAUGAAUAUCAAAACUUUCUAACGGAUCAACACUAACAGAAUCACCAAUGUGCUUCUUGAGCAUAGAAACGUGAAAGGAUGGACAGCUGACAACUCGGCAGGCAAUUUAAUCUUGUAAGCUGCUUUUCCAACAUGAUUCAAAACUCUAUAAGGGCUAACGUAUCGGGGACUAAGCUUCCCUUUCUUACUAAAUCUUUUCACCCCCUUCAUGGGUGAAAUCUUCAAGUACACCAGAUCGUUAACCUCAAACUCAAGAGCUCUUCUUAUCACAUCUGUAUAUGACUUCUGACGACUCUGGGCUGUCUUCAACCUUUCCCCAAUCAGCUUAACUUUCUCCAUAGCCUCAAACAUAGCAUCAGGUCCACUCACAACAGCUUCACCCACUUCAAACCAACCUAUGGGUAAUCUACAUCGCCUUCCGUAUAAAGCCUCAAAUGGAUCCAUUCCAAUGCUAGAAUGAAAACUUUUGUUGUAAGGAAAUUCAAUCAAUGGCAAAUGUUCAUCCCAAUUUCCUUUGAAAUCAAGAACACAGGCCCUCAAUAUAUCCUCCAAGGUCUAGAUGGUCCUCUCAGCCUGACCAUCGAUCCGCGGAUGAAAAACAGUGCUAAGAUGAACUUGGGUACCAAGACCCUUCUAAAAAGCCCUCCAAAAAUAAGAAGUAAAUGGAGUACCCCUGGCGGAGAUAAUAGACAAAUAAACUCCAUGCAACCUGACUAACUCUCGAAUGUACAGCUUAGCAUAGUCCUCAGCGGUGAAAGAUGCAUGCACUGGAAAGAAAUGCACGGACUUAGUCAAUCUGUCUACAAAGACCCAAAUCGAAUCAUGAUGACGUCGAGAAGGAGGUAAACCAGUCACAAAAUCCAUAUUUACUUCCUCUCACUUCUAAGUAGGAAUACUAAAUUCUUGCAUCAUUCCACUGGGUCUUUGCUGUUCUAUCUUAACCUGUUGGCAAGUUGUACACUUCUAUACGAAUUUCACUAUAUCCUUUUUCAUACCAUUCCACCAAUAAAUUUCUCACAAAUCGCGGUACAUCUUGGUAGCAGCGGGAUGAAUAGAAUAUCACGCGCCAUACGCUUCAGCCAUAAUUCUCUGCCUUAAAUCUUCAACAUCAGGCACACAUAAUCUAUUUUGAAAUCUCAAUACACCAUCUCCCCCUUGGGAGAAAACCUCCACCUUUUGGUCUUUAACUGACUCCUUCAGUCUAACCAAACUAGGAUCCAUAUCUUGCUUCUCCUUUACUUUUGAAACUAGAGAAAACUCGAAACUACUCUGGACCCAAAUAUUACCCUCAGCUGAAUCAAGCAAUCUAACUCCUAACCUAGCCAGAAGAAGCACCUCACGAGCUAACUUCUUUCUAUCUUCCUCGACCUGUGCUACACUACCCAUGGACGACCUGCUAAGGGCAUCUGCCAUUACAUUGGCCUUUCCCGGGUGAUACAACAUAUUUAUAUCAUAGUUCUUUAACAAUUCUAACCAUCUCCACUAACGAAGAUUCAAAUCUCUCUGAGUAAACACAUACUGCAAACUUUUGUGAUCCUUAAAGUCAUCAACACAAACACUACAAAUAGUGUCUCCACAUUUUCAAGGAAAAACCACUGCAGUUAACUCGAGGUCAUGGGUUAGAUAGUUCUUCUCAUGCGGUUUCAACUGUCUGGAGGCAUAGGAUAUAAACUUACCUUUCUAAUCAACACAAAACCCAACCCAACUCUAGAAGCAUCAAAGUACACCACAAAAUCAUCUAUACCAUUUGGAAGGGUCAACACAGGGGCCGAAGUGAGUCGAGUCUUCAACUUUUGAAAACUCUUCUCACAAGAGUCAGACCACAGGAAUUUAAUUUUCUUUUAGAUCAACCGAGUCAAAGGAGAUGCAAUGGAAGAGAAACCCUCAACAAAAUAAUGGUAGUAUCCAACUAGACCCAAGAAACUCCUAAUAUCAGAUGGGGAAAUAAGUCUAGGCUAAUUUUUCACAGCUUCUAUCUUUUGAGGGUCAACUAGAAUACCUUCAGAAGAAAUAAUAUAACCCAAAAAAGCAACUGACCUUAGCCAAAAUUCGCACUUGCUAAAUUUGGAAAAUAGUUGAUGAUCUCUAAGGGUUUGCAAGACUAUUCGGAGAUGAUUUGUAUGGUCGUACUCACUUCAAGAGUAUACAAGACUAUCAUCUAUGAACACAAUAACAAACAUAUCCAGGUACUGUCUGAACAACCGAUUCAUGAGGUCCAUAAAGGCUGCUGGGGCAUUUGUUAGCCCGAAGGACAUGAACAAGAACUCAAAAUUACCAUAUCGGGUGCGAAAAGUUAUCUUUGGAAUAUCACACUCCCUAACUUUAAGCUGGUGAUAACUGGAUCUCAAUUCUAUUUUUGAGAAAUAGUUAGCACCUUGCAGCUGAUCAAAUAGGUCAUCAAUUCUAGAAAGAGGGUACUUGUUCUUGACUGUGACCUUGUUAAGCUGAUGAUAAUCAAUGCACAUCCAUAAUGAACCAUCUUUCUUUCGCACGAACAAAAUGGGUGCACCCCAAGGUGAUAUGCUAGGCCUUAUGAAGCCCUCAUCUAAAAGAUCUUUGAGUUGCUCUUUCAACUCCUUAAGUUCUGCGGGGGCCAUACGAUAUGGAGGAAUAGAAAUAUGCUGCGUGUCGAGGAAAUGAUCAAUCCCAAAUUCUAUCUCUCUAUCGGGAUGUACCCCUAGGAGAUCUUCUGGAAAAAUAUCACAAAACUCAUUAACAAUGUUGAUCGACUGAAUGGUCGAAGUCUCAAACUUAGUAUCUUUAACUCAAACCAAAUGAUAGAUGCAACCCUUGGAUAUUAAUUUUCUAGCUUUAAGAUAGGAUAUGAAAUGACUCCUGGGAGAUACAAAAUUUUUGGACCACUCAAAAGCUGGCUCAUUGGGAAAUUGAAACUUGACUACAUGGCUACGAUAGUCUAUAGACGUAUAACAAGAGUGAAGCCAAUCCAUACCCAAAAUAAUAUCAAAAUCAACCAUGUCUAGCUCAAUCAAAUCUGCAAAUAUAACUCUGUGAAGGAUAGUGACAGGACACUUCUUAUAUACUUGCUUAGCAACAACAGGUUCACCUACUGGAGUAGAAACUAGAAAAGGCUCAGGAAUUUUUUCAGCAUUGAUCUCAAAAUUCACAGACAGUAAUGAGUCACAUAAAAAAGACUUGAUCCAGGGUCCAUCAACACAUACGCAUCAAAAUAAAAUACAUAGAGGUACUAGUAACAACAUCUGAUGAAUCCUCCUGCUCCUGGCAGGGUGGUAUAGCAUAAAAGAAAUUCUGGCGCUGACCACCGGUAGUACUAGAUGAGGCACCCUGAGGAGAAGUAGGACGAACCCAAGGGACUGGAGUACUAAUAGCCUGACUCUGGGGACGAACAUCACGGCUUCCCUGUCUAGCAUAUGGGCAAUCCCUGAAUUUGUGGCCCAGCUUACCACAACCAAAACAACCUCUCUACUCAGCCAUACACUCUCCAGGAUGCGUCCUACCACACUUAGCACAUGGGGGAUAGUUAGGUCUAUUACUCAUACUGUCCUAAAACCUAGACAUAAUAGGUCUAUUACCCUGCUCCUACCUAACUCUGGAUGUGGGAGUACUAGCUGAUGAUGGUGCUGGAAUAACAGAACAGCUCUGAAACUGAGGGUGGAUCCCUCCAGAAAAUCUACUCUGACUAUACCCCUGCUGCUCUAAUCUAACUCUCUUAUUCCCUCUCACUCUCUCUCUCUGUUUCACCUUGUCCACUUCAAUCUACUGGGCAUGUAUCAUCAAUCUAGAAAGAUCCAUAUCCUUAUUGAGCAUAGCGGACUUCACAACAUAACUCGAUACGCCAGUUAAAAACUUACUCAUACUAGUCCUGGAAUCAGUCAUCAUACCGGGAGCAUACUUAGACAACUGGUUAAAUUUAAAUUUAAGACAAUAUUCAUUAACUAUCAUAGAGCCUUGUCUCAAGUUCAUAAAUUCUUCUAGUUUUUCUUCCCCCACCUUCGGGGGAAAGAAUCGGUCUAAGAACGCGACCUGGAACAACUGCCAAGUCAUGGGAGCAGCAUCCUCCCUCUACUCUUCCUCCACAACUCCACCCAAACAUAAGCAACAUCUUUCAAGUGAUAGGAAGUUAGCUCCACACUUUCUUCCUCUGUUACAUGCAUAAUUUGGGUGAUUUUUUUCACCUCAUCAAGAUACAUUUGUGGGUCCUCACCCACCCUUGACCUAUAAAACUUUGGCGGAUUCAUCCGCAUAAAAUCCCAAACUUGAGCUAUUGUAGAAUUGCCUUCUUACGGAGCUGGAACAGUGGCCUAAAUAUUGGCCUGAGCAUUGGCGGUAACUGCCUGGGCUAGCACCUGAAAACCUACCCAAAAUUUGGCAUGAUUCACCAUCUCAUUUAAAAGAUCAUCGGGUUGAGGCCGUUUGUUAUUUCUGCGAGCUCUAUGAGGAGGAAUUUUCUAUCAUAAGAGAGCACGAAUUAAUAGCAGAGAGAAACAGUCGUAGGCACAAAAGACUUUUGAAUGAAAGAAAUGACUUUUCCUAAAAAGUCCCGUAGACUCUUGCUCAUAGAUGUGGCGCGCUAUACACCGAUGAUUAAGACUCUACGUAACGCGUCUUGUCAGACUCCCUAGGACUCCUCUAAACCUUAGGCUUAGAUACCAAUCUUGUAACGCCCCAAGAUCCCAUCCCAAGAUGUCACACAAUGCUUAAGGGCACACGUGACCUCAAGCUAACCCUCUGAGCCUGUCAUCACCUCUAUAACUCACUAUGACAAUAAUCAAGCUGUAAUAAAGAAGAAUAAUCAUGUCAUGAAUAUACUGGAAUACAAAGAAAUACUAUCCUGUACAAUCAAAAUACUGAAGUUCUAUACAUACUGGUACUCCAGUCUGACAAAGCCUCUACUACACAAGACUGAGGAGCUAUUGGGACAGAUCCCCAACUGACCCAUAUUGAACUAGAAAUAAACAACCAUCUACUAUCAAGACAAAGAUCAGGGACAUAGGUCCUCAAACUAUAAGGACUCACCAACUGUACGAAUGUAGAUGGAGGUACUCAAAGAUCACUGUCGCUGCUGAGACUAAGAACCUGAACCUACAUCACGAGAAAAUAUAGAACACAAAAGAGUAUGGGAAUCAGUACUU